rnacentral:tRNA from 1 species
GGCCUCGUGGCCCAAUGGUCAAGGCGCCUGACUACGGAUCAGGAGAUUCCAGGUUCGAAUCCUGGCGGGGUCA